rnacentral:rRNA from 1 species
AUUGAACGCUGGCGGCAGGCCUAACACAUGCAAGUCGAGCGGUAGAGAGGUGCUUGCAUCUCUUGAGAGCGGCGGACGGGUGAGUAAUGCCUAGGAAUCUGCCUAGUGGUGGGGGAUAACGUUCGGAAACGGACGCUAAUACCGCAUACGUCCUACGGGAGAAAGCGGGGGAUCUUCGGACCUCGCGCCAUUAGAUGAGCCUAGGUCGGAUUAGCUAGUUGGUGAGGUAAAGGCUCACCAAGCCGACGAUCUGUAGCUGGUCUGAGAGGACGACCAGCCACACUGGGACUGAGACACGGCCCAGACUCCUACGGGAGGCAGCAGUGGGGAAUUUUGGACAAUGGGCGCAAGCCUGAUCCAGCAAUGCCGCGUGCAGGAUGAAGGCCUCGG